UACGGGGGGAGCAAGCGUUGUUCGGAUUUACUGGGCGUAAAGCGUGCGCAGGCGGUUUUGUAAGUUUGUCGUGAAAUCCCCGGGCUCAACCUGGGAAUGGCGAUGAAGACUGCAAGGCUAGAAUCUGGCAGAGGGGGGUAGAAUUCCACGUGUAGCAGUGAAAUGCGUAGAGAUGUGGAGGAACACCGAUGGCGAAGGCAGCCCCCUGGGUCAAGAUUGACGCUCAUGCACGAAAGCGUGGGGAGCAAACAGG
rnacentral:rRNA from 1 species